UACAGAGGUGGCAAGCGUUGCUCGGUAUCACUGGGCAUAAGGCGCACGUAGGCGGUCUGUUAAGUCAGGUGUGAAAGCCCCCGGCUCAACCGGGGAAUAGCAUUUGAUACUGGCAGACUCGAGGAUGGUAGGGGUGAGUGGAACUCCAGGUGGAGCGGUGAAAUGCGUAGAUAUCUGGAGGAACACCGGUGGCGAAAGCGGCUCACUGGACCAUAACUGACGCUGAGGUGCGAAAGCUAGGGUAGCAAACGGG
rnacentral:rRNA from 1 species